UACGUAGGGUGCAAGCGUUAAUCGGAAUUACUGGGCGUAAAGCGUGCGCAGGCGGUUAUGUAAGACAGAUGUGAAAUCCCCGGGCUUAACCUGGGAACUGCAUUUGUGACUGCAAGGCUGGAGUGCGGCAGAGGGGGAUGGAAUUCCGCGUGUAGCAGUGAAAUGCGUAGAUAUGCGGAGGAACACCGAUGGCGAAGGCAAUCCCCUGGGCCUGCACUGACGCUCAUGCACGAAAGCGUGGGGAGCAAACAGG
rnacentral:rRNA from 1 species